GCAGGGCUCUGGGAUCCUCGGGACGUCCCUAACCCAUUUAAAAUGGUUAAGGUUAGCAGGGCUCUGGGAUCCUCGGGACGUCCCUAACCCAUUUAAAAUGGUUAAGGUUAGCAGGGCUCUGGGAUCCUCGGGACGUCCCUAACCCAUUUAAAAUGGUUAAGGUUAGCAGGGCUGUGGGAUCCUCGGGACGUCCCUAACCCAUUUAAAAUGGUUAAGGUUAGCAGGGCUGUGGGAUCCUCGGGACGUCCCUAACCCAUUUAAAAUGGUUAAGGUUAGCAGGGCUCUGGGAUCCUCGGGACGUCCCUAACCCAUUUAAAAUGGUUAAGGUUAGCAGGGCUCUGGGAUCCUCGGGACGUCCCUAACCCAUUUAAAAUGGUUAAGGUUAGCAGGGCUCUGGGAUCCUCGGGACGUCCCUAACCCAUUUAAAAUGGUUAAGG
rnacentral:lncRNA from 1 species